rnacentral:rRNA from 1 species
UACAGAGGUCUCAAGCGUUGUUCGGAUUCAUUGGGCGUAAAGGGUGCGUAGGUGGCGCUGUAAGUCGGGUGUGAAAUUUCGAGGCUUAACCUCGAAACUGCAUUCGAUACUGCGGUGCUUGAGGACUGGAGAGGAGACUGGAAUUCAUGGUGUAGCAGUGAAAUGCGUAGAGAUCAUGAGGAAGACCAGUGGCGAAGGCGGGUCUCUGGACAGUUCCUGACACUGAGACACGAAGGCCAGGGGAGCAAACGGG